GACAGGAUUGUACAUACCGGUACAUGUAACAUGACCCUUUGAUAUACCAGUGCACUGGCUGAAAACAAGGAAUAUCCCAAUGGGCCCACUGACAGGGAUCAACCCUAGACCAACUACACAUCAGACUAGCAGAGAUGCCCCACAUGUUCACUCUCAUCUAGCCAUGGUAGAAUGCAGAUAAACAUACUUUGAUGUAAUUUAAGAGUCGACAUGAAACCCAUCACACCUCUGGCAAGAACUACGCUGAACUAGCUGGUAUAUCCUCCUCAUUUAGAAAAAGGAUCGAAACAUCAAUUCAAUUUCUCUCGAUUCGUAUGUACAACUAGAAUGUCUGUCUGCAUCAUCCUAAAAGAUCAAUGUGAUAAGACAGGCCCCGACACACAAGGUGAUGUGAUUGGCAUCUACAUUUCAUCCACAUUCAAACUGAACAAAUACUUUUAUAAUAAAGGUAAACUAAAUACAGUUGUUCUUCUUCUUCUUCUGCGUUCAAGGCUUCAAGCUAUAGCUGAUCAUGCUUUAGAUUUGAAGUCCGGUUGUGGUGAUCCAUGGGGACAACACCACUUCGAUAUAUCCAUCUGUUUCAUGAUCAUAGAGCUUGG